CCUACGGGCGGCAGCAGUGGGGAAUAUUGCACAAUGGGGGAAACCCUGAUGCAGCGACGCCGCGUGAGUGAAGAAGUAUCUCGGUAUGUAAAGCUCUAUCAGCAGGGAAGAAAAUGACGGUACCUGAUUAAGAAGCCCCGGCUAACUACGUGCCAGCAGCCGCGGUAAUACGUAGGGGGCAAGCGUUAUCCGGAUUUACUGGGUGUAAAGGGAGCGUAGACGGCAGCACAAGUCUGGAGUGAAAUGCCGGGGCUUAACCCCGGAACUGCUUUGGAAACUGUGCGGCUGGAGUGCAGGAGAGGUAAGUGGAAUUCCUAGUGUAGCGGUGAAAUGCGUAGAUAUUAGGAGGAACACCAGUGGCGAAGGCGGCUUACUGGACUGUAACUGACGUUGAGGCUCGAAAGCGUGGGGAGCAAACAGGAUUAGAUACCCCAGUAGUC
rnacentral:rRNA from 1 species